rnacentral:rRNA from 1 species
ACGAACGCUGGCGGCAUGCCUAACACAUGCAAGUCGAACGAGGCCUUCGGGUCUAGUGGCGCACGGGUGCGUAACGCGUGGGAAUCUGCCCUUGGGUUCGGAAUAACUCGCCGAAAGGCGUGCUAAUACCGGAUGAUGACGUAAGUCCAAAGAUUUAUCGCCCAAGGAUGAGCCCGCGUUGGAUUAGCUAGUUGGUGAGGUAAAGGCUCACCAAGGCGACGAUCCAUAGCUGGUCUGAGAGGAUGAUCAGCCACACUGGGACUGAGACACGGCCCAGACUCCUACGGGAGGCAGCAGUGGGGAAUAUUGGACAAUGGGCGAAAGCCUGAUCCAGCAAUGCCGCGUGAGUGAUGAAGGCCUUAGGGUUGUAAAGCUCUUUUACCCGGGAUGAUAAUGACCGUACCGGGAGAAUAAGCUCCGGCUAACUCCGUG